UCGAAGGUAGCAUAAUCAGUAGUUUUUUAAUUGAAAACUUGUAUGAAUGGUUUAACGAGGUAUUAGCUGUUUCAUAAAAAUUUAUAUAGAACUUAAUUUUUAAAUUAAAAAGUUUAAAUAUAAUUAAAAGACGAGAAGACCCUAUAGAGUUUUAUAUUAAAUAAUUUAUAAAUUUUUUAUAAAAAUUUAAUUUUUAAUUUGUUUAAUAUUUUGUUGGGGUGACAAUAAAAUUUAAUAAACUUUUAAUAAAUUUAACAAAAAUUUUUGUAUUAUUGAUCCAUUUUUAAUGAUUAAAAGAUUAAAUUACCUUAGGGAUAACAGCGUAAUUUUUUUGUAGAGUUCUUAUCGAUAAAAAAUUUUGCGACCUCGAUGUUGGAUUAA
rnacentral:rRNA from 1 species